UACAGAGGGUGCAAGCGUUAUUCGGAAUCACUGGGCGUAAAGAGUUCGUAGGCGGUUUGUUUAGUCGAAUGUGAAAGCCCUGGGCCCAAUCCAGGAAGUGCAUUCGAUACUGGCAAACUAGAGUGCAGGAGGGGAGAGCGGAAUUCCAGGUGUAGAGGUGAAAUUCGUAGAUAUCUGGAGGAACAACAGAGGCGAAGGCGGCUCUCUGGACUGUCACUGACGCUGAGGAACGAAAGCGUGGGGAGCAAACAGG
rnacentral:rRNA from 1 species